rnacentral:rRNA from 1 species
ACGCAAGUGGGAAAUCUCGACUGCACCAUCGACCGAUCUAAGUUCGCGAGGAUUUGAGUAUGAGUUGCAUUUUUCUGACCCGAAAGAAGGUGAAGUAUUCUUGGAUAGGUUGAAGUCAGGUGAAAACCUGAUGGAAGACCGCAGCGGUUCUGACGUGCAAAUCGAUCGUCAAAUCUGGGAAUAGGUUUUGAGAAGACUAAUCGAACCUUCUAGUAGCUGGUUCCUGUCGAAGUUUCCCUCAGGAUAGCAGCAACGAUAAUACCGUCUCCUUAUGUAGAGCAACGAUUAGAGGCCUUGGGGCUGAAACAGCCUUUUCCUAUUCUCGAACUCCGAAUAUGUGAGAAGUCCUUGUUACUUUAUGAACGUGACAUAAGAUUACUGCAUCAAUACUU